CGUGAUUUGUAUCCAAUGGUCACUUAGACAUUGAAAAAUUGGAUUAUGAAACUGCGAAACAUAAUUUUGGAAUUGGAUCAAUACUUCUAAUUGAAUAAGUAUGAAUAAAGGAUCCAUGGAUGAAGAUAGAAAGUUGAUUUCUAAUCGUAACUAAAUCUUCAAUUUAUUAUUUGUAAAGAAUAAAUUGAAGCAAAUAGCUAUUAAACGAUGACUUUUGUUUACUAGAGACAUCAACAUAUUAUUUUAGCUCGGUGGAAACAAAAUCCUUUUCCUCAGGAUCCUAUUAAAUAGAAAUAGAGAAUGAAAUAACUAGAAAGGUUGUUAGAAUCCCCUUCUUCUAGAAGGAUCAUCUACAAAGCUAUUCGUUUUAUCUGUAUUCAGAAAUAACUAGAAAGGUUGUUAGAAUCCCCCUCUUCUAGAAGGAUCAUCUACAAAGCUAUUCGUUUUAUAUGUAUUCAGACCAAAAGCUGACAUAUAUAUUAUGGGUAGAAUUCU
rnacentral:lncRNA from 1 species